CCUACGGGUGGCAGCAGUGGGGAAUAUUGGACAAUGGGGGGAACCCUGAUCCAGCCAUGCCGCGUGUGUGAAGAAGGCCCUCGGGUUGUAAAGCACUUUCAGUGAGGAAGAACGCCUGGUGGUUAAUACCCAUCAGGAAAGACAUCACUCACAGAAGAAGCACCGGCUAACUCCGUGCCAGCAGCCGCGGUAAUACGGAGGGUGCGAGCGUUAAUCGGAAUUACUGGGCGUAAAGCGCGCGUAGGUGGCUUGAUAAGCCGGUUGUGAAAGCCCCGGGCUCAACCUGGGAACGGCAUCCGGAACUGUCAAGCUAGAGUGCAGGAGAGGAAGGUAGAAUUCCCGGUGUAGCGGUGAAAUGCGUAGAGAUCGAGAGGAAUACCAGUGGCGAAGGCGGCCUUCUGGACUGACACUGACACUGAGGUGCGAAAGCGUGGGUAGCAAACAGGAUUAGAUACCCCUGUAGUC
rnacentral:rRNA from 1 species